AUUUAGAGGAAGGAGAAGUCGUAACAAGGUUUCCGUAGGUGAACCUGCGGAAGGAUCAUUGUCGAUGCCUCGCAAACUGGACGACUCGUGAACCGGUUGAAACAAUCUCGGGGUGGGAGACGAGUGGUGUGCGUCCCACUUAGUUGCCCGCCUCGUGUCGGGGGUGUGACGGUGGCCUAGUUGCUGCCUCGCACCCCCGGCAACCCAACAACUAUAACCCCGGCGCCGGAUGCGCCAAGGAACCAAAACCAACGUGCGUGGCCUCGGCGAACCGGAGACGGAUCUCGCCAUGGCCCGUCGCGAAAACGAUGUCUAAAACGACUCUCGGCAACGGAUAUCUCGGCUCUCGCAUCGAUGAAGAACGUAGCGAAAUGCGAUACUUGGUGUGAAUUGCAGAAUCCCGUGAACCAUCGAGUCUUUGAACGCAAGUUGCGCCCGAAGCCACUAGGCCGAGGGCACGUCUGCCUGGGUGUCACGCAUCGUUGCCCCAAACCACGUCGUCCCUCCGGUAUGUCGGAGCGGGCGAGGUGCUUGGGCGGAAGUUGGCCUCCCGUGAGCAAUGCCUCGUGGAUGGUUGAAAAAGGAGCCUGUGGGGGGGCGACCGCCACGUUCCACGGUGGAUGAGCGCUAGCCUCGAGACCGAACGUGCGCGAGCUGUCCCUCCGACUAGGCUGCGAGACCCUUGCGAGCGAGGAAUCGCUCCCAACGCGACCCCAGGUCAGGCGGGGCUACCCGCUGAGUUUA
rnacentral:rRNA from 1 species